rnacentral:RNase_P_RNA from 15 species
AAAGUAUAAAUGGAACGAACGAACGAAAGAAAGAAAGAAAGAAAGAAUAAAGAAUGAGAGUGCCCGAAACAAAUAACAUAAUUCUAAUGGCAUUGAUACGACGUUAGGGUAGUCGAUCGAUUCUUUCUUUCUCUCUCUCUCCCUUACCAAUUCCGAGCAAA